AUCCUGUGAUUAGGACACUUUCUGAUUAAGUCCUUGAACCUCUCUCAAGCUUCAUAAAGAGAUUCGUUGUCUUGUUGGAUAAAGUUGUUUAUUUCAAAUCUCAGCUU